GGUAGAUGAAAUCGUCAUAGGACAUCCUGAGAGGUUGGAAGAAGAGAGAGACCCAUAUGGGAGGCUGGGAAAGAUAAGGCAACAGAGAUUCCGAGAAGGGAAGUCACCUGUCCAGUCCAGACUCCUGCAUCAAGACUCCCCUCCUGCCUGGACCUAGCCCAGGCUUUCUAGACAUCUUUCCUUUCCAGACAGUGGCCAUCAGCAAGCUCUCUGGAUCCCAGGUUCCCGUGGCUCUGCUCCCAGCCCUUCCUGAAGCCCACGUCCCCUCUUCUCCUCUGCGGAUCCUUGGUUUUAAGGGUGAUUUUAGACCAAGCAUUUGUAGUACUCUUGUGGCUCGGUACCCAGCCCUGCCUUGCCCCAGGCCUUAUUGUCCCCUAUCCGUGGGGUCCCCGCACCCACCUGUCACUCCAGGAGCCAUUCCACUCCACCUGGCCCCAGGGGUUCCGCAGCCGCACCAGCUUCACUUUCUCACCCUUGUACAGGGCCUUGAGCAAAGAGAAAAAGCUUUCUCCCUUUGGGCCCUUUCUGAAAGGGGGUCUUCUGUCUUGCCCUGAGGGCUGGGGUGGGAGUGGGGAGAGAAUCCUGUACAGGGGCCUGUCCUGCCUGGCCCCGGUCAAGGACACUAAUCACAAGUGCCCUGUGGAAUGGCAGGGUGAUGGGUCAGAACCUUAGGGCUGAGUCUGCAGGAGUCAGGCUUGGCCACCACCUUGCCAUCUUCUAAGAAGUGAUUUUCCCAGCGAACAUUGGGCCAUUCAGAGCUUUGGGAGAGGAGGCAGGGAAUAUAAUGUAGGGCUCUGCUAGCACAAGGUGCCUCUGUGUGAAUUAGAUAAAACGCCCCUGCUGGCUGAGGAACUAUAGAAAAUGUCCCUUCCAGAUGGAUCAGUGAGAAAAAGGGGCCCUUCCUCCUGUCUGCUGCAGACGACUGCCCCUCUCUGCCCAUCUCUGUGAACAGGGCACAACUCGCCCAAUUGUGCACAAGGGGCCUGACAAGGUUCCUGUCUGUGACGUGACCCGGUGAAGGCCAGACAUCCCAGGGGGAGCAAAACCUUGGAACUGACCAUGGAAAACAAGGAACACAAGAGCCCAUGAUAUCAACUUCGUAACACCAAAGUGCUUUCUAUUUGUUCUUUGGAAAUGUUGGGGCAAUUGCUAUCUUUAGCACUAAAAACAAACAUAAACUGAGCACCAUCUUGUGGCAAGAUCCACCUGCCAGUCCCAGUGGUCUCCCCCAACCCCAGGCGCUUGGCCUGAGUGCCUGAUUGGAGGCAAAUUCUACAGAUGUGAAGGGACACAGAAAGCCAAGUCCUGACUUCGGGAGGUUCACCCAAGUAGCCCCUCAAGUCCCGUCCCGCCGAGUCCCGCCAGGCUCACCUCCUCCAGCCCAGUGACUGAGUAGGCGUGGCCUUUGACCAGCCCGCAGGCCAUUCUUGUCUCGUACUGAACUGGAACAAUCGUCUGUGGAGUGAAAACCAGACAACCUGUCAGGGGUUGCUGCCUGAGACAAAGUUCACACUGGUUCAUGUCCUGGGUUCUGCGAGGACAAGGACUCCUCCACGCCCUGGACGUGUGCCUCCCAGCCAUGAGAAGGCCCUCACUAGCCCUUUCAGAGAGCCAAGAAAAUGCAGCCCAGACAAGUGGUUUCCCCAGACCGUCGGAGAGCGACAUGGAGCUGGGGCACGAGAGAAACUGCCUGGACCAUGGAGUUUGAAGGACCUCCCACAGAGAUUCCCUCCAAAAGCUGCCUCCCGCACCUUCCUCAAGAACCUUGGAGAGGGCAAGUUAUUCCAACCCAGACCCUUGGAAGGCCUCAGGAGGAGCCUGUGUGUGAGGUGCUGGCUGCUGAGGAAGAUCUGACCUUACAGAGGUGUCAACCCAGGGAAGGAGUGUGACAGCAGUCUCUGGACCAUGUGAUCAACAGGAGCUUUCCCACAGUCCACACCAAAGAUAAUACUUCCCGAACAAGAGGCUGAGACAGAGGAAAGACUGGUGAAGCAGACAAGCUAACCAACCAGACAGAAAAUUGGACGCUCAUCCACAUGGCAAAUGUCGUCUUUGUUGAAAGACUCCUUUAAUAUGAAGCUAUUCUGGGGCAAUUUCAACAAGAGUUCGAGUUACAAAAGCACAUUUUGUGAGCAUAUAGAUUCCAUGUGCCCAAGGGACACGCGUGGUACAUGGACAGUUUCAGAGCUGACUUCUAAGGAAGAUGAGGACACCAAGGCUCAGAGAGGUUAAGAAACCUGCCCAAGGACACACAGCUAAAAACAACCAUGUCCAGCCCCCUUCCUAUAACUACAAGAAUCUUCCUACUUUUUCCUGAUGUGUUUUCCUCUUGAAGAGAAAAGCUGACGAUUCAGCCACGAGAGGGAAGGAAAGGAAGACAGAGACAAUAAGGAAGGGAUGUUCAUGAAGUGGUUGAAAAAUACUCCUGGGGGGCUCCAGACCAAGAUGGCAACAUAAAAGCCUCCUGAAUUUCCCUCCUUCCACAGAUGCACUGAAUAUAAAGCUACACAUGGAGCAAUUCCCUUUGAGAGAAAUCCGGAAACUAGCUGAGUGACUCCUAUACAUUGGGUGACUGAGAAAAUACCCACAUCAAAACAAGUAGGAGGGACUUUCCUGGUGGUCCAGUGGGUAAGACUCCAUGCUCCCAAUGCAGGUGGCCCAGGAUCGAUCCCUGGCCAGGGAACUAGAUCCCACAUGCAUGCUGCAACUAAGAAGUUGGAAUGCCACAACUAAGACCCGGCACAGCCAAAAUAAGUGAUAAAUAAAUAAAAAUAAGUUAAAAACAAGAAAACCAAAACAAGCAAACAAACAAAACAAGUAGGCGAGCAGAAGCAAGAAGAACUACAAUUCUGCAGCCUGUGGAAUGAAAACCACAUUCACAGAAAGAUAGACAAAAAUGAAACAGCAGAGAACUAUGUACCAGAUGAAGGAACAAGAAACCCCCCCAGAAAACCAGCUACAUGAAGUGGAGAUAGGCAACCUUCCAGAAAAAGAAUUCAGAAUAAUGAUAGUGAAGAUGAUCCAGGACCUCGGAAAAAGAAUGGAGGCAAAGAUCGAGAAGAUGCAAGAAAUGUUUAACAAAGACCUAGAAGAAUUAAAGAACAAACACCUAGAAAAAUUAAAGAACAAACAAACAGAGAUGAACAAUACAAUAACUGAAAUGAAAACUACCCUAGAAAGAAUCAAUAGCAGAAUAACUGAGGCCAAAGAACAGAUAAGUGACCUGGAAGACAGAAUGGUGGAAUUCACUGCCAUGGAACAGAAUAAAGAAAAAAGAAUGAAAAGAAAUGAAGACAGCCUAAGAGACCUCUGGCACAACAUUAAAUGCACCAAUAUUCGCAUUAUAGUGGACCCAGAAGGAGAAGAGAAAGGGCCUGAGAAAAUAUUUGAAGAGAUUAUAGUCGAAAACUUCCCUAACAUGGGAAAGGAAACAGCCACCCAAGUCCAGGAAGUGCAGAGAAUCCCAGGCAGGAUAAACCCAAGGAGAAACACUCCAAGACACAUAGUAAUCAAAUUGACAAAAGUUAAAGACAAAAGUUAUUAAAAGCAACAAUGGAAAAACGACAAAUAACAUACAAGGGGACUCCCAUAAGGUUAACAACUGAUUUCCCAGCAGAAACUCUACAUGCCAGAAGGGAGUGGCAUGAUAUAUUUAAAGUGAUGAAAGGGAAUAAACUACAACCAAGAUUAUUCUACCCGGCAAGGAUCUCAUUCAGAUUCGACAGAGAAAUCAAAAGAUUUACAGAAAAGCAAAAGCUAAGAGAAUUCAGCACCACCAAACCAGCUUUACAACAAAUGCUAAAGUAACUUCUCUAGGCAGGAAACACAAAUGCUAAAGGAACUUUACAACAAUAAAUGCGAAAGGAACAAAUGCUAAAGGAAAUUCUUCUCUAAGUGGGAAACACAAGAGAAGAAAAGGACCUACAAAAACAAACCCAAAACAAUUAAGAAAAUGGUAAUAGGAACAUACAUAUCGGUAAUUACCUUAAAUGUGAAUGGAUUAAAGGCUCCAACCAAAAGACACAGGCUUGCUGAAUGGAUACAAAAACAAGACCCAUAUAUAUGCUGUCUACAAGAGACCAACUUCAGACCUAGGGAUACAUAUAGACUGAAAGUGAGGGGAUGGAAAAACAUAUUCCAUGCAAAUGGAAAUCAAAAGAAAGCUGGAGUAGCAAUACUCAUAUCAGAUAAAAUAGACUUUAAAAUAAUGUUACAAGAGACAAGGAAGGACACUACAUAAUGAUCAAGGGACCAAUCCAAGAAGAAGAUAUAGCAAUUAUAAAUAUAUAUGCACCCAACACAGGAGUACCUCAAUACAUAAGGCAGAUGCUAAUAGCUGCAAAAGAGGAAAUCGACAGUAACACAAUAAUAGUGGGGGACUUUAACACCUCACUUACCCAAUGGACAUACCAUCCAGAUGGAAAAUUAAUAAGGAAACCCAAGCUUUAAAUGACACAAUAGACCAGAUAGAUUUAAUUGAUAUUUAUAGGACAUUCCAUCCAAAAACAGAUUACACUUUCUUCUCAAUUGCACACAAAACAUCCUCCAGGAUAGAUCACAUCUUGGGUCACAAAUCAAGCAUUGGUAAAUUUAAGAAAAUUGAAAGCAUAUCAGGCAUCUUUGACAACCACAAUGCUAUGAGAUUAGAAGUUAAUUACAGGGAAAAAAUGUAAAAAACACAAACACAUGGAGGCUAAACAAUACGUUACUAAAUAACCAAGAGAUCUCUGAAAAAAUCAAAGAGGAAAUCAAAAAAUACCUAGAGACAAAUGACAAUGAAAACACGAUGAUCCAAAACCUAUGGGAUGGAGCAAAA